rnacentral:rRNA from 1 species
AUACGGAAGGUCCGGGCGUUAUCCGGAUUUAUUGGGUUUAAAGGGAGCGCAGGCGGAGAUGCAAGCGUGACGUCAAAUUUCGGGGCUCAACCCCGUCUCGCGUCGCGAACUGCGUCCCUUGGUUGCGGGAAGGGGAGGCGGAACUCGGGGUGUAGCGGUGAAAUGCAUAGAUAUCACGAAGAACUCCGAUCGCGAAGGCAGCCUUCCGGCCCGUCAACGACGCUCAUGCUCGAAGGUGCGGGUAUCAAACAGGAUUAGAUACCCUGGUAGUCCGCACAGUAAACGAUGGACACCCGCGGUUUGGCCUGUAUGGCUGAGCCGCCAAGCGAAAGCGUUAAGUGUCCCACCUGGGGAGUACGCCGGCAACGGUGAAACUCAAAUGAAUUGACGGGG